AUAAAAUUUGGGCCACUAGAUAACAUGAUUUUUUUUUUGUCAAGAAAAUUUUGUUUCCUUUAAUAAUAGUUGACUGUGGAAGUAACGAACAAGUUUCACAAAUGACUUUGAACAUUCAAUAUCUUCAUUGAACCAUUCCACACUCACAAUGUUCCACAUUUCUUUAUAAAUCAUUCACAUCUUCACACUAUACCAAACUCAAAACAACGUACAACACUCUUAUCCAUACAAUUUCCUCUAACUCAUUUUUUGAUACUUAGUUCCAAAAUGUAUCAACCAGAGGAUGGAAAGCCAUUAUCCAAUCAGCCACCAUCAGCCACCACCACAGGUUUUCCGGUGAGCGUCAA
rnacentral:lncRNA from 1 species